rnacentral:rRNA from 1 species
GACGAACGCUGGCGGCGUGCCUAAUACAUGCAAGUCGAGCGAGUCUGCCUUGAAGAUCGGAGUGCUUGCACUCUGUGAAACAAGAUACAGGCUAGCGGCGGACGGGUGAGUAACACGUGGGUAACCUGCCCAAGAGAUCGGGAUAACACCUGGAAACAGAUGCUAAUACCGGAUAACAACAGAUGAUGCCUAUCAACUGUUUAAAAGAUGGUUCUGCUAUCACUCUUGGAUGGACCUGCGGUGCAUUAGCUAGUUGGUAGGGUAACGGCCUACCAAGGCGAUGAUGCAUAGCCGAGUUGAGAGGCUGAUCGGCCACAUUGGGACUGAGACACGGCCCAAACUCCUACGGGAGGCAGCAGUAGGGAAUCUUCCACAAUGGACGCAAGUCUGAUGGAGCAACGCCGCGUGAGUGAAGAAGGGUUUCGGCUCGUAAAGCUCUGUUGUUGGUGAAGAAGGACAGGGGUAGUAACUGACCUUUGUUUGACGGUAAUCAAUUAGAAAGUCACGGCUAACUACGUG